rnacentral:pre_miRNA from 1 species
UCUCCAUUUCACACACUCUCUCGCCUCUCUGACCGGUGAGAGAGUGUGGGAAAUGAAGUGA